rnacentral:rRNA from 1 species
CGCGCAGGCGGUCCUUUAAGUCUGAUGUGAAAGCCCACGGCUUAACCGUGGAGGGUCAUUGGAAACUGGAGGACUUGAGUACAGAAGAGGAGAGUGGAAUUCCACGUGUAGCGGUGAAAUGCGUAGAGAUGUGGAGGAACACCAGUGGCGAAGGCGACUCUCUGGUCUGUAACUGACGCUGAGGCGCGAAAGCGUGGGGAGCGAACA